UAAAGAAAGCGUAAUAGCUCACUGGUCGAGUCGGCCUGCGCGGAAGAUGUAACGGGGCUAAACCAUGCACCGAAGCUGCGGCAGCGACACUCUGUGUUGUUGGGUAGGGGAGCGUUCUGUAAGCCUGUGAAGGUGUGCUGUGAGGCAUGCUGGAGGUAUCAGAAGUGCGAAUGCUGACAUAAGUAACGAUAAAGCGGGUGAAAAGCCCGCUCGCCGGAAGAC
rnacentral:rRNA from 1 species